GAACCUUACCAAGGCUUGACACGCAGGGAAAUCCGGCAGAGAUGUCGGGUCCGCAAGGGUCCUGCACAGGUGGUGCAUGGUUGUCGUCAGCUCGUGUCGUGAGAUGUUGGGUUAAGUCCCGCAACGAGCGCAACCCUCGUUCCAUGUUGCCAGCGGGUAAUGCCGGGGACUCAUGGGAGACCGCCGGGGUCAACUCGGAGGAAGGUGGGGAUGACGUCAAAUCAUCAUGCCCCUUAUGUCUUGGGCUGCACACAUGCUACAAUGGCCGGUACAAAGGGCUGCGAAACCGUGAGGUGGAGCGAAUCCCACAAAGCCGGUCUCAGUUCGGAUCGGGGUCUGCAACUCGACCCCGUGAAGUCGGAGUCGCUAGUAAUCGCAGAUCAGCAACGCUGCGGUGAAUACGUUCCCGGGCCUUGUCACACCGA
rnacentral:rRNA from 1 species